CCUACGGGUGGCAGCAGUGGGGAAUAUUGCGCAAUGGGCGAAAGCCUGACGCAGCGACGCCGCGUGAGGGAUGAAGGUCUUCGGAACGUAAACCUCUGUCAGCAGGGAAGAACGGUCACGGGGCUAAUCAGCAGUGAAUUGACGGUACCUGCAAAGGAAGCACCGGCUAACUCCGUGCCAGCAGCCGCGGUAAGACGGAGGGUGCGAGCGUUAAUCGGAAUUACUGGGCGUAACGCGCUCGUAGGCGGUAUGUAAAGUCAAGGGUGAAAUCCCCGCGCUCAACGUGGGAACUGCCUUUGACACUGGCAAACUGGAGUGUGUGUGAGGUUAGUGGACUUCCAGGUGU
rnacentral:rRNA from 1 species